rnacentral:rRNA from 1 species
CCAGCAGCUGCGGUAAUUCCAGCUCCAAUAGCGUAUAUUAAAGUUGUUGCAGUUAAAAAGCUCGUAGUUGGAUCUCGGGUCCCAGCCUUGCGGUCCGACACCGUCGGUUUACUGCUCGGUUGGCCUACCUCCCGGUUCGCCCUUGGUGCUCUUGACUGAGUGUCUCGGGUGGCCGGAAAGUUUACUUUGAAAAAAUUAGAGUGUUCAAAGCAGGCCUUGUCGCCUGAAUAAUGGUGCAUGGAAUAAUGGAAUAGGACCUCGGUUCUAUUUUGCUGGUUUUAAGAUCUGGAGGUAAUGAUUAAGAGGGACUGACGGGGGCAUUCGUAUUACGGUGUUAGAGGUGAAAUUCUUGGAUCGCCGUAAGACGAACUACUGCGAAAGCAUUUGCCAAGAAUGUUUUCAUUGAUCAAGAACGAAAGU